GACGUAGGGCGCGAGCGUUGUCCGGAUUUAUUGGGCGUAAAGAGCUCGUAGGCGGUCUGUCGCGUCUGCUGUGAAAACUCAGGGCUUAACCCUGAGCUUGCAGUGGGUACGGGCAGACUAGAGUGCGGUAGGGGAGACUGGAAUUCCUGGUGUAGCAGUGAAAUGCGCAGAUAUCAGGAGGAACACCGGUGGCGAAGGCGGGUCUCUGGGCCGUAACUGACGCUGGAGGAGCGGAAGGCAUGGGGAGCGAACAGG
rnacentral:rRNA from 1 species